rnacentral:rRNA from 1 species
GACGAACGCUGGCGGCGUGCUUAACACAUGCAAGUCGAAUGGAAAGGCCCUGCUUUUGUGGGGUGCUCGAGUGGCGAACGGGUGAGUAACACGUGAGUAACCUGCCCUUGACUUUGGGAUAACUUCAGGAAACUGGGGCUAAUACCGGAUAGAAGCUCCUGCUGCAUGGUGGGGGUUGGAAAGUUUCGGCGGUUGGGGAUGGACUCGCGGCUUAUCAGCUUGUUGGUGGGGUAGUGGCUUACCAAGGCUUUGACGGGUAGCCGGCCUGAGAGGGUGACCGGCCACAUUGGGACUGAGAUACGGCCCAGACUCCUACGGGAGGCAGCAGUGGGGAAUAUUGUACAAUGGGCGGAAGCCUGAUGCAGCAACGCCGCGUGCGGGAUGACGGCCUUCGGGUUGUAAACCGCUUUCGCCUGUGACGAAGCGUGAGUGACGGUAAUGGGUAAAGAAGCACCGGCUAACUACGUG